UACGUAGGUUCCGAGCGUUAUCCGGAUUUACUGGGCGUAAAGCGCGUUCAGGCGGUUCGGCAAGUCGGGCAUGAAAUCUCUCGGCUCAACCGGGAGAGGUUGUCCGAUACUGCUGGACUUGAGGGCAGUAGAGGGUGGUGGAAUUCCGGGUGUAGUGGUGAAAUGCGUAGAUAUCCGGAGGAACACCAGUGGCGAAAGCGGCCACCUGGACUGUACCUGACGCUCAAACGCGAAAGCUAGGGGAGCGAACGGG
rnacentral:rRNA from 1 species